UACGGAGGGGGCUAGCGUUGUUCGGAAUUACUGGGCGUAAAGCGCGCGUAGGCGGACCUGCAAGUCGGGGGUGAAAGCCCGAGGCUCAACCUCGGAACUGCCUUCGAUACUGCGGGUCUCGAGUCCGGGAGAGGUGAGUGGAAUUCCUAGUGUAGAGGUGGAAUUCGUAGAUAUUAGGAAGAACACCAGUGGCGAAGGCGGCUCACUGGCCCGGUACUGACGCUGAGGCGCGAAAGCGUGGGGAGCAAACAGG
rnacentral:rRNA from 1 species